rnacentral:lncRNA from 1 species
UUAGAUGUUACCUGCUACAAUAGAUACAAUAAAGGUUUGACAUAUAAGGGAACAGUCAAUGUAACUUUAGAUGGAAGACCUUGCAAAAACUGGAAAAUAUAUCAAUCUCUAUAUGCAAACUAUUCUGAAGACAAUAACUACUGUAGAAAUCCACUGCCAAAUGAAAUUAGUAAACCUUGGUGUUAUACUGCAGACGGCUAUU